ensembl:lincRNA
CUUGGCUGAAGAUCAGAGGGGAGGGGACGUGAAUUUCAGCUUUCUCUCUGGCUUCUGUGUUGUGGCAGAAGCAGUACGAUGGUGUGGUUCCAGGUUAGCUGUGGAGCCAGUGUUCGGAAUGUUCUGGAAGCCCUGGUCUCGGGUGCUUUUCCAUAGCAGACCAGUGCAGGCUGGUGAGUUCUGGCUCAUGAUCUCUGUGUGCCACUCCUUCUUCUCCCCUUUACGCUUCCAGCCUUUCCAGUGCCCUUCUGUUCACUUUCCACAUUCACCUCUCUCUGUGAGAAAUACCUGGAAGGUUUCUGUUUGCUUGACUGGGCCUUGAGUGACCUACAGAGAUAAUAACAGAGGUGACGGGACCUAGGGAGCCCAUGUGUCAACAUUCAGGAGACGACUCUUCAGCCCCAAGACCCUUCUAAGAGGUUGGAAACCCACACCGGAGGAUCUCCCAUGGCCUCCGGGCUUCUGAGGCUCUCUGCCUCUCCGAUGAAGCAAAACCAGACUCUGGCAACCACGGAGUGUGCGAGGGCUUGAGGGUCGGAGGGGACCGAGAAGCCCAGUCCAGGCUGCAGCCAGCCAAGAGGUCCGUCUUCCCCUUCCCAAAGCCAGAGAAGGUCUGGACCUGGACAGAGCGACACCGUGCCUGAGGGAAGGGGCUGCCCCGGGCCUGCCUUCCUGCGCGGUCGGGAGGAGAUGGGAGGGCUCACAGAGAGAGCAGUUCGGAUGGCAGAGGGGCACCCCCGGGGCCCCAACAAGGAAAGGUAGCUAUGCAAAUCCCGAGUACAUGACUUGAGGUCUCAAACUGGAAUCCUUCCCAAAGGGAUUGUUCAAAUCACCGCUCACCUGGAAAUGUGUACAAUCACUGUGUCGAUUAAAUGUUAAAGUAUUUCCAUCAUCAAAGACUGAUUUGUAUUUGGGAUGCACAGAAGUAGCAAAAAAAAAAAACUUUUAAAGCAGCAAACCACACCCGCGCAUGCGCGCGCACACACGUACACACGCGCACACACGCGCACUUUCUCCAGCCCACUCCUCUCAGACAAAGAGCAGCCGGAGCCAGGUCGCGCCCACCCUCUUCCCUUCGACCCAGGAGACAACACAAAGUCCCUCCAGUUCUGCGACACAGAAGGGUGCAGCCAGGGACGGGGGCUGCGGGGGGCCAGUUCCGGGCCUUAGUCAUCUCCACGCCUGGCAGGGCGCACCGUCAGCACCCGCAACCUUCUGGGACUUGGACAAACUCGGAGGAGCCCACAGGCACUAGGGAGCCCUCGGAGAGGGUGCGGGGGCUCGGGAAAGCAGCCCGGACCCAGCCGACACGCUGUGGCACGGACACCAUCGCUUGGAUUUCUAAUGAGCCAUUUGUUACCCAGCAUGCUUGGGCAGUCUUUACAGUGGUCGUCAGCAUCUUUCCAUGUUAUCAGCUUCCAGGAAGACGGAUCGUUAGUGGAAUAAAGGACAGGGCUACGGCAACCCCGGCACCUCGCCAACCCCACCCGCACUGCCACCCACGGCAAGCCGGUCAGUGCUCAAAACCCGAUGCCACACGGGGCUGCUCAGCACGGUGA